CCUUCCUAGAAUUCUCUCAGGAGGGAGAAAGUCCUCCUAUUUGGCUAUUGGAAAACACUCAGUGCUCUCUGAUUCAAGCUCUGCAGGUGACAGGCUGUCGGCGAGCUUCUUCUGUCAGAUGAGACCAGUCAGAUGAGCCACAAGUCUGCAGUCAAAGUCAAGGUGUCUUCCAAUCAGUGUGUGUGUGUGUGUGUGUGUGUGUGUGUGUGUGUUGGGGGGGCACAGGGAGGAUGGGGUGCAGACUGUGCACCUCCCAGGCGGUGUCUGAGCCCUUGGUGCUAUUUCCUGGAACAAAUACAGAGAAACACAUACAAAAGGCAGUUGUGGAUUUCAAAAGAGGUCGUAGAGCUUGAAGCAGGGCUGCCUGCCAGUGCUCGGAGUUGAGAAGGAAGCGGCCGCAGCGGCAGUUCUGCUCCCCAUCUUUAUUCCUUUCAGCAAAGCUUGAAGCUAUGGGCUCUGAUUUAAUGUGGAAGUGAAAGCAAAGGGACACGGCGGGGUCGGACGUGCAAAGGAAGGCAAGUCCCUGCACCGCAGCACGCUGCGGGCAAGUGCCAGCUGCGGGAGGAUUCUUUCGGCUUCGGGGACCAGCGAUUUCCUCUUGAGCUCCAAGAGCCUUAGAAGCCAGCCGUCAGCUUGCCUCCCUGCCCGUCGACCGAGCGAGCGCAGAGUCCGAGAACCAGGAGAUCGACGCGGGCACCCUUCCUCCUCCCUCUCCCGGGCGGGCGCAGUGCUGCGGGCGGGCGCGCGGGGGCAGCAGCGCGGUCACCCACCCACCCGGCCGGGCCGGAGCCGCAGCCGCAGCCGCAGCCGCAGCCGCAGCCGCGCGCGGGUCUGGGGGCUUCCGCGCCGUUUCCCUGCAGGCUGGAGCCCAUUGUUAGAGACGAGGCGGAGGGAGGGGUGCAGCCCGGCUUACCUCCUGUCCCUCCUCCGACUCGGCCUUGCCACCCACAGAGGGGCGACGUGGGGGUGGGGUUGGGGGAAUAAACUUUGAGACUUUUCUGUUUUAUUUAAUCAGAGCACUGUUUUGCAUCGGCUUAUGGUGGAGCUGGGGCGUGAACCUGGGACCUCAGAGCCUCAGCCAGUAGAAUCUAUUUACGUAACCAUUACCAUUAUGCUAUCUUUCCCCUCCCAUUGGGAAGCAGACUUUGCCCCUGGGUUCCACUCCUGCAUGCUCCCACAGUCGUGUCAAGGACUCCUCCACCAAGCAGCCUUCUCACUUUGCUCCUCCCCACCGCAGAGCUAGCUGUUCUGGCGACCGCACACAGAGGUCUGUCUGUCCGGGACAGCUGGCUUGUUGCAGGAGAAGGUCACAGGGUCGGCUAAUCAGAUAGCGGCCAUUCCCGCUUCCACCUCCAUCCUGAUCAGGGUGGGCAGUGGUGGCAGGGAGAGUAGAGCAGGGCCCUGGGAGGGGGUUGGGGGUUGUCACGGAGGUCCUGGCUCUCUGCAGGACUGUGAGGCUCCUUAAACCCUUUGGGGCAGGAGCUGGAAGUAUUAGUAAGCUCACAAGAAGCUGGGCCACCCAGGGAUCUGGAAAUAGUUCCCCUGGUGGAGCACACACUUGGCUGGGCCGGAGGCUCUGGCUGGAGGCCCUGCACCCCAGGAGAGCACUGUGAAGGGUGGGGAAGGACGUGGAUGUAUUCGUGAGAACCAGGGCAUCACUCCAGCACAUGCAAUGCCAGGGACUGAACUGAGGACCUCGUGCUUGAGAAGCCAAUGCCCUAUCCACUACAGGGGUUGAAGUAUUCUGUGGUUGUUCUUCUUCUCCUCCCUGUUUCUUUCUUUUUCCUGCCCAGAGGGCUCCCAGCUCUGCUGUGUGUGGGAGCCACAUAGGGAGCCAAGUGGAGACACUUUGAAACAUCAUCAGUGGGUCACCAACCCUGGGGAAUACUGAGCCUUUGUUUUUGUUACUUGUUUACCCAAACCACGCUGCUGUUUGUUGGCACUGGGCAUUAGCCUUGUUCUGAUAUGUGCAAAUAAAUCUUGCUUUUCAUGUAUUUCAUUCAGUCA